UACGUAGGGGCCAAGCGUUGUCCGGAUUUAUUGGGCGUAAAGAGCUCGUAGGCGGUUCGGUAAGUCAGCUGUGAAAACUCGGGGCUUAACCCCGAGCCUGCAGUGGAUACGGGCAGACUAGAGGUAGGUAGGGGAGAAUGGAAUUCCCGGUGUAGCGGUGAAAUGCGCAGAUAUCGGGAGGAACACCGGUGGCGAAGGCGGUUCUCUGGGCAUGUCCUGACGCUGAGGAGCGAAAGUGUGGGGAGCGAACAGG
rnacentral:rRNA from 1 species